rnacentral:lncRNA from 1 species
AUCAUGUGUAAGCUAUUGAUUGAGUCACCACAAAUUCUCAUUUUGUUCAAUGUUUCUGCUUUUAACAAUAUUUGAUUUUCUUUUGAUUAUUGCACUAAUUUAAAAUAUCAUAUUUAUCUAAGAGUUUUCAGAGAGAUAUCAGCUUAGCAAGGGGAUGCUACUGUACUGGGUUAUGUUCUCUUGAAGUCUGUUCUCUCUCUAAGGAAAUUAAUAGAUUUUUCGUGGAAAGUGAAGUGUCCUAUGUCAAGUUCAAAAGUUAUCUGAGUUUUGUAUUAAAUAUGAACUAUAGGGUUGAGUCAUUUUAUUUUAUUGUUCUACCUAUGAGUACCAAUUUAUGCUACUGACCGCCUAAAGCGGUGUGUUAAUUAUACACAGGGAAUGCAACUGAUUUGUCAUUCUACUACUACAUCCUUUGAAAGGAAAAGAAUAUUAUUAGAAACAUCAGCAUGAGAAGAUCACUUGAGCAAGACUUUGUUUGGGGGAAAACUGAUGGAGAGUCAAAAUGGAAAAGUGUUUCUUAUAGGGAGCAUGCAAUGGAGGAUGGGUAGGCAAACUCGAACCCCCUGCAUAAGUAUGCAAGAGACUGACCACUGAUUGAUAGGAGGAUUUUCUAAGCUGUGGUCGCAUGAAGAUGCACAGCUUGUCUAAGAACGCUAAAUUGGUUCAGCAAAGAAGUGAGAUAAUAAAAGCUUCACUCAAAAGUGUUUUUUGAUGCUAUAUGAUAAGAUGGUAUUUUGAAUUUGGAAGUUUUUUUUUCGGCAAAGCAAAUAAAGUUAUGCUUGUCAAUCUUUAUCCCUAAACUCUCAUUAGCUUUUGCCUUUUUUAACUUCUCUCUUGCCUGGUAAAAUUUGAAAGGAAGACAAUGUUCCACUUCCAUGAGAGAUUUUAAAAAACCUAGAGGUUAAAAACAGUAUUUCCCAUAAG